rnacentral:rRNA from 1 species
UACGUAGGGGGCGAGCGUUAUCCGGAAUUACUGGGUGUAAAGGGUGCGUAGGCGGAACAGCAAGUCGGAAGUGAAAGGCGCGGGCUUAACCCACGAACGGCUUUCGAAACUGCUGAUCUAGAGUACAGGAGAGGAAAGCGGAAUUCCUAGUGUAGCGGUGAAAUGCGUAGAUAUUAGGAAGAACACCAGUGGCGAAGGCGGCUUUCUGGACUGAAACUGACGCUGAGGCACGAAAGCGUGGGGAGCAAAC